rnacentral:lncRNA from 1 species
CUUUCAGCCCUCACCUCCCAGGAAUGGGGAGGGGGCAUCCUACCCCAUAUCUGAGGUGCGACUGCGGGACGUAGAGCGGACUGGGCCUUUCCCGUUGGCGCGUGGCCUCAAUCAGGGAGUCUUCCUCUGUCACCCAGGCUGGAAUGCUGUGGCACCUUCAAGACUCACUACAGCCUCAACUUUCUGGCCUCCAGCAAUCCUCCAAACACAUCCUCCAAAAGAUGGGGUUCCGCCAUAUUGCUCACGCUGGCCUAGAACUGCCGAGCUCAAAGAAUCCACCUACCGUGACGUCCCAAAGUUGUGGAAUUGCAGUGCUUCACUGGCCCCGGCCUUAUUUCCAAAAUGAAAUAACUCACAUAAGUUCUGUGGUGACAUGUAAAAACCCAAUUCCCGUAACAGCUUUCCCAACGUUGAUUUUUUAGACAUGAUGAAUGUUAUGUGUUCUUAUUAAUCCAUGUCCCCUUUAAAGGCACAUGUGGGCAAGAAGAACCAGACAGUCCAAGAAACCCAAUCAUGUUGAGACAUGGAGAGCAGAAAAGGAAGCGAGCCCGGAAGAAGUGGGUGAGAGGGCGUUGGACCUCAAUGUCGAGAGAGAGAGAGUGACAGAAAGAGAGAGAGAGAGAGAGAGAGAAAGAGAGACAGAGAAAGAAGAAACGGUGCUGUAGAAAACAACAAUGGAAAGUCCAUGGAGGUCAAAGAGUCCGGCAAGGGACAGGGAGUUAGCAGCCUGGCGUAGUGUCUUCCCACUGUUUUGUCUGUCUUGAGAAUAGCAUUCAACGCGACUGUGUUCCCGCAGCAGACGUUAGGCCGCUGCCCACGCCUUGAGUGCCGGACGAGGUCAACAUAGGCUUUCCGUCACAGAAUAUGUUUGGGCAGGAAGAUCGGAACACUUGGGGCUGGGCCAUCUACCGCUCCCCCACGGCACACACGAGUCGUCAGGGAAAUGCCCGCCUCUGUGUGUGUUGUACGUGCAGCCUUCUGGGCAGAGCCGUGGAGAGUUGGACGUAGGCCAGGUGUGAGGAGGAGAGGUGUGUUUGGGGUGGCCACUGGCUCCCUUCCUGCGUGACGUAGGCUGGCGUGGGCUCUUCCCCCAGCCCCUUGCCGGUGCUGCCACGUGAGAAGGGCCCGGGUGCCGGUCCCGCUAUUCCGGAAUUGUGGGUUCACCUGAAGUUUGAGGCCAAACCCCCAGCGGUCAGUGGGACGCCAGUCGCCUUUGACCUCUUGGUCAAGCUGGCCUUGCCGUGACCCGUGAGAAUGCCCAAGUGCCAAUGUGUCCCGGGGGGCAGGGCCGGGGCUGGGAUCCUCGUGUGUGCCCAGUCUCCUUCUCGUCCCUGCGGGUUCCACCAUCCUCCCAUCCUAACGCAUCGUUAGGGAUGCGGUUAGGUCGGGUCCAUCCCCAGGGCGGUCCAAGGGGACCGCUUUCUGGUUUGUCAGGAAGGCAGGCUAGUAAGAAGGGUCCCGCCGAGUCCCAUCUGCCAAGGACAGGGUCCCGCAGGUGGGCCAGGGCUGGCCCAAAGCGGCCGAGAUGCUGAUCCGCCAUGUGCGGGGCGCUGUUGGCGUUUUUUCCUCAGCAAAGGGCGGAGGGAGUGGACGUGGGGGAAGGGCAGGUGGGCAUUUCUGGAGCAAUACUGCCAUCAAGAGGAACUGGCUUGGCAAUCCCGCGCACCCUUCGCUGUGCUCGCCUGGGGAGGAGUGGCUUGGGACUGUCCUGGGGGACCAGGCAGGACUAGGGCAGGUGCUCGGACGGAUCCGAGGUCUCUGGAGGUCCGAGAGAAGCAGGCUCCGCCGCGGGGUCGGGCGGUGGAAGCCCCAGAGAGAGGCGCCAGGACUAGCUGGACAGCCAGGACGCCGGGCCGUUCCCGGACAGGAAGCCAUGGCUCGGGAGCCUGGUGGCGGCCAUGAUCUGGGCGGGACCAGCGGAGGCCUCCGCCAGGGAGCCUGG